GGAAAAGGGGAGUGAGAAAUGGCCCCUGGUGGCUGGAGGGGGUUUGGGGAGACAGAAAGCCCCUGGUGGCUGGAGGGGUGCUUUGGAGGGGACAGAAGGCCCCUGGCAUCUGGGAAGCGAAGAGAAAACCCUGCUAGAUGGGACCUCCCACCCUGAACCCCUCCUCAACUCCAAACCUCACCCUCCUGCUCUGCCACCCCCACAUCCUCAAGGCCCUGGCCCCACUCCUGAACCCCUCUCCCCCACUGCCAGCCCCAUGCCCUGAAAGACCUGGGUAAUGCCAGGGAAAUCUUCUAAUCAACAGUAAUUCCCUUCUCUUUAUCUGCAGUAAAGGCUUCAGACCAUAUUCUAGCCAAACUGAUGGCUCAGAACAGCUUUUGUUUAUGCUGUGCCUCUUUUCAAGUUUGUGACGGAGAAUUAGAAUCCCACAACAAGCAAGCCAGCAACCCAAUUUUAUCUUCAUCUUUAAUCUAAACUCAUAGGUGAUUUUCUUAUGAAAAUUAGAAUCUAAUGACGCUGAUCCAAGCCUCCUCCCCAAUCCCAGCAACUCUGUCAAUGGACCUCAAUCUAAGCCUACUGCCCUCUCUUGCUAUUCUAGGACCUGGAUUUACGCUGCUCCACCAAUGUAUUUCAGUGCUGAUUUGCAGCACUACCUGCUCCUCUAGUCCUGAGAAGAAAGGUGAUAUAGAGUUCUAGAACUGGAAGGGACCUCACAGCAGGACCAAGCACUGUCUAGAUCAUCCUUGACAGGUAUUUGAAUAAGGUUACACAUUAUGGUCUUUGCUGCAGAGUACCCAUUUUUU